rnacentral:rRNA from 1 species
GACGAACGCUGGCGGCGUGCCUAAUACAUGCAAGUCGAACGGAAAGGCCCUGCUCUUGCGGGUUGCUCGAGUGGGGCAGGGGGGAGUAACACGCGAGUAACCCGUCCCUGUCUUUGGGAUAACUCUAGGAAACUGGGGCUAUAAUAGGAGAGGAGCUCUUGCUGCAUGGUGUGCGAUGGAAAGUUUCGGCGGUUGGGGCUGGACUCGCGGGUUAUCAGCUUGUUGGUGGAGUAGUGGCUUACCAAGCCUUUGACGGGUAGCCGGCCUGAGAGGGUGACCGGCCACCAGGCGCCUGAGGUACGGCCCAGAAUGCUACGGGAGGCAACAGGGGAAAGUAUUGCACAAUGGGCCGGAGCCUGAUGCAGCGGCGCCGCGUGCGGGAUGACGGCCUUCGGGUUAUGAACCGCUUUCGCCUGUGACAAGGCGUGAGUGACGGUAAUGAGUAAAGAAGCACCGGCUAACUACGUG